rnacentral:rRNA from 1 species
AUGCAGCUGGCGUCGGCGGGAAAGCACGCGACAAGGGAGGCGGGUUUGGCCCAGCGAAACCCUCACACCGCACGUCCUCCACCUCCCUUCGCCUCCAGCGCCCCUCCUCCCUCUCCAGCGCCGCCACAGUCGCCUGGGCGACGCUCCCACCUACCACCCAUGGUUGAGGUCGGCGAAGCGGCCCAUCGCGCGGCGCCUGGGGACGUCGCCUCCCUCCGCCGCCAGCAGCGGCGACCGGCUAACAUGCGGUCGUCGCCGCCAAAACCGGAUGGCGUGCUGUCCGGCGAGGGGCCCGACCUGCCGCGCGGCAUCGCCUCCUCCACAUCCGCCCGCGGAUCGAGCUCCACAACCUCCAUCCCGACCUGCCUUUUCCUCCUCUCGCUUGUCAGAAAGGAGUGCAGGCCGCUGUUGCCCCACACGAGGUCAUCCUCCUCUUUGGUUUUGCUGAUUCCGAUGGCGUUGGCUCGACCUACAGGUCAGGACUUCAUGCCCUUUUCUCUUGAGCUGAAACGCAUGCAAGCAUGGCUGUUGACCGAGCCCUCUAAUUCAACUAUUCAGAUGUGCUUUAGGCCUUUAGCAAAACCUUUUUUCUUAUUAUCCAUUUGGCUGAUUCACAUAAUCUCGCAGGAAAAUGUCGAUGUUAAAGCAUUUGGUCAUGAUGGAUCAUUUUACUGGUUCUCAGUUCAACUCAAGAUGGCUCAGAUAGGACCAAGUUUGAAUAUUCAUGUGUUGGAUAGGGGUUGGGGUUGGUCUCCUGCACAAGAGGUGAAAUAUGUGAAGGUGCAAAUUGGAGCAGAAGAUUCGUCUAUGAUGCAGCAGCUCAAAGCUGAAGAUUUCUCUAAUUGUUCUGAUGGUAGUGCGUAUGAUUGGGUUGUUGUGUUGGAUGAAAACAGGAAGGAUGUCAUAUCUGAGCAGAUAGCUGAUCUGAUUGGGGAUGCUGGGGAUUUCACCCUCUUGCCAUGCGCUGAGCCGCGGUGGGAGAAAGUGGGUGGCAGCGAGCCAGUGGAUUGGUCAUUGGAUAACUGCUUGUUGUAUUUCACAAUGAGGACAUUUGUUUGGGGGGUGUAUCCUAGAGUUAAGGAUGCUUGGAUGGAAGUGGUGGCCUCACAAAGGCACCCUAAUGUGCGUAGGCAAGAUCGAAAUGCACAAAUACCUGCUCAGCCACUCUCAUCAUCAACGCUCAACAAUGGCCUCUUCUUCCGGUGCCCGAAGCAGCCGCAUACCCAUAUGCCUCGUGCUGAUUCUCUUGAUCGCCUGCGAGAAGUCAGCCAUCAUGCCGUACGAUGUUGCCUCUUCAGUACAUCUGUGUUAGCUCUUUCUGUUACUAUCCAUUCUGUAGCACUAGGGCAGCCCGGUGCAUGUAGCUCCCGCUUGCGCAGGGUCGGGGAAGGGUCCGACCACUUUGGGUCUAUAGUACGCAGCCUUUUCCUACAUUUUUGUAAGAGGCUGUUUCCAGGACUUGAACCCGUGACCUCAUGGUCACAAGGCAGCAGCUUUACCACUGCGCCAAGGCUCCCCUUCUCUACGGUAGGUGAUGACCAAUCAAGAGGUGUAAAUUCUAUUGCAAGUUCCUUAUAUGUGCAUGUUCAUCAAUCUGAAAAAAAGGAGGUGAAAAGGUCGCUCGUCAAUCUGGCACUGCGCAAACUUCCUCUCAAGAGGCGCCACCGGGUGGUGCCCCAACCCCUAGUCUGUAGCAAAGAUAACAUCAUCUACAUGCUUUUCCAAUGCCAAAAGAACAGCUCGCCUGAGAGCUACAGCCUCGGACGAAAACUUUGCCAUGUUAGGGUCUCAGGACUCUGGCGAUUCCGGGGCAACGCCGCCGCCGCCGCCGGGCUUCGACCGGCCGGCUGCUGGCACCGUUGCCACAUGUGCGCCUCGGCGACAUGGUGGCCUUGUUGCGGCUACGUCCGCUCCCGCAUCGCUGGCCCCUCGGGGUGGUAG